UACGUAGGGUCCAAGCGUUAAUCGGAAUUACUGGGCGUAAAGGGCUCGUAGGCGGCCAACUAAGUCGGAUGUGAAAUCCCCAGGCUCAACUUGGGAACUGCAUCCGAUACUGGAUGGCUUGAAUUCGGGAGAGGGAUGCAGAAUUCCAGGUGUAGCGGUGAAAUGCGUAGAUAUCUGGAGGAAUACCGGUGGCGAAGGCGGCAUCCUGGACCGACAUUGACGCUGAGGAGCGAAAGCUAGGGGAGCAAACGGGG
rnacentral:rRNA from 1 species